GACGAACGCUGGCGGCGUGCCUAAUACAUGCAAGUCGAACGCACCCUCGUUUAGAUUGAAGGAGUUUGCUCCUGAUUGAUAAACAUUUGAGUGAGUGGCGGACGGGUGAGUAACACGUGGGUAACCUGCCCUAAAGUGGGGGAUAACAUUUGGAAACAGAUGCUAAUACCGCAUAAAACCUAACACCGCAUGGUGUAGGGUUGAAAGAUGGUUUCGGCUAUCACUUUAGGAUGGACCCGCGGUGCAUUAGUUAGUUGGUGAGGUAAAGGCUCACCAAGACCGUGAUGCAUAGCCGACCUGAGAGGGUAAUCGGCCACACUGGGACUGAGACACGGCCCAGACUCCUACGGGAGGCAGCAGUAGGGAAUCUUCCACAAUGGACGAAAGUCUGAUGGAGCAACGCCGCGUGAGUGAAGAAGGUUUUCGGAUCGUAAAACUCUGUUGUUGGAGAAGAAUGUAUCUGAUAGUAACUGAUCAGGUAGUGACGGUAUCCAACCAGAAAGCCACGGCUAACUACGUG
rnacentral:rRNA from 1 species